UGGGGAAUAUUGCGCAAUGGGGGAACCCUGACGCAGCCAUGCCGCGUGAAUGAAGAAGGCCUUAGGGUUGUAAAGUUCUUUCGGUAUUGAGGAAGGUUGAUGUGUUAAUAGCACAUCAAAUUGACGUUAAAUACAGAAGAAGCACUGGCUAACUCCGUGCCAGCAGCCGCGGUAAUACGGAGGGUGCGAGCGUUAAUCGGAAUAACUGGGCGUAAAGGGCACGCAGGCGGUUAUUUAAGUGAGGUGUGAAAGCCCUGGGCUUAACCUAGGAAUUGCAUUUCAGACUGGGUAACUAGAGUACUUUAGGGAGGGGUAGAAUUCCACGUGUAGCGGUGAAAUGCGUAGAGAUGUGGAGGAAUACCGAAGGCGAAGGCAGCCCCUUGGGAAUGUACUGACGCUCAUGUGCGAAAGCGUGGGGAGCAAACAGGAUUAGAUACCCUGGUAGUCCACGCUGUAAACGCUGUCGAUUUGGGGGUUGGGGUUUAACUCUGGCGCCCGUAGCUAACGUGAUAAAUCGACCGCCUGGGGAGUACGGCCGCAAGGUUA
rnacentral:rRNA from 1 species